UCCCUGGUAGUCCAGUGAUGAAGACUCCAUGCUCCCAAUGCAGGGGACCUGGGUUCAAACCCUGGUCAGGGAA
rnacentral:tRNA from 1 species